rnacentral:rRNA from 1 species
GUGCCAGCAGCCGCGGUAAUACCGGCAGCACGAGUGAUGACCGCUAAAAUUGGGCCUAAAGCGUCCGUAGCUGGCCACGCAAGUUCAUCCCGAAAUCUGCGCGCUUAACGCGCAGGCGUCCGGUGGAAACUGCAUGGCUUGGGACCGGAAGACCAGAGGGGUACGUCCGGGGUAGGAGUGAAAUCCUGUAAUCCUGGACGGACCACCGGUGGCGAAAGCGCCUCAGGAGGACGGAUCCAACAGUGAGGAACGAAAGCUAGGGUCUCGAACCGGAUUAGAAACCCGCGUAGUC